UUUAUUCUCCUUUUUAGGAUUAUGAAUGUGGCAGUGCAAAGAAUGCAGUUUGCAAUUAGCUAGCAGCGUGACAACAUCAACACCAGGAGGGAGUGUAUCCUGAGAUGCAUCAUCUACCUCAAUGAAGAUCCAGACACCAUCUUCAAAGAAUAUCUGGCACUGGCGACCGAGGAUGCAGAAAGGGACCUAGCAACCACAGUCAUGUGACCGGAAGUGAUGGGGAUCAGGAGCCUGAGGACGUUGGAGUUGUGGAGUCAAGUUCAUUCUAUUUGGCAUCAUUCACCAUGGUGAAACUCAAACAUCCAACAGGAAAAAAAAAACAUUUUUUGAUUGGAGGGGUUCUAAGGAAAUGAAGUUCAAAUGUAAAUGUAUUUCAAUAAAAAAUAAAAUAAAAAUAAAAAAACA